rnacentral:lncRNA from 1 species
AUGGGCCAUGGGCGGCCCAUCACCCUUCGGGUACAAGGGACAACGACCAUCCAAGUCCUCCUCACGUUUCCUGCGUUUCUGCCCCCAAAGAGCCUUUUUUGGGUCUUCCCAGGCCCCCAAAGAGCCUUUUGUGGUCCUACCAGGUGCCAAAAGAUGGUCCUCUCAGGCCCCAAAGAGCCUUUUUUGGUUCUACCAGGCCCCAAAAGAUGGUCCUCUCAGGCCCCAAAGAGCCUUUUUUGGUCCUCUCAGACCCAAAAAGAGCAAGUUUGGGACCAACACACUCCCAGGAACCAACUAAAAUGUGGGAAAACAGGGGAAAACGGCUUUUCCCGGGAGCAAAGGCCUUCAGCCACCCGGAGGGGCCAAGAUUUGCUCCACGGCAGCGGAGAAAAGAGGGGGCCCGGAGACGCCGGGGAGCGAGGGCGUCACCUCGGUCAUCGCGGCGGAAAUCAUCCCGGCCGUUCCACCGAUCCAUCCGGUCAUCCCGCCGGUCGUAGCGGUCCUCGUAGCCUCGGUAGUCGUCAUCCCGGCGGUAGCCGCUGCCAAAAGCCCUCCUGCCGCUGCCUAUCCUGGAAUCGUAACCUACAGGAGGGAAAUAGAGGACCUUCCCAGUGAGUCCCAGUCCCUCCCAGUAUGGUGGGGCGCGGAGGUGGCCAUUCUGUGGGCCAGCAAAGCCAACAACGGGCUUCAAACCCAGGCUGGGUGAUGAUUAGAGCUGCACCAGGGGUUGAAGCUGCCUGGAGAGGGACAGCUCAUCUUCUGCACCCUUCUUCCCAGUUACUGGAGGGGAACUGGGCGGCACUGGGAGGAACUGGGCGGCACUGGGUACUGUCUGAUUCCCCUCCCCUUGCCCCUCUGGGAAUAUCCCACCUCGGUCGUAGUCCCUGCUGCGGUCAUCGUAGCGAUCCCUGCCCCCGAAGCCGCGGUCCAUGUCCCUGCGGGGACCGUCACGAUAUCGGUCGUCGUAACGGUCGCGAUACCCUGGAGGGGGGAAGAAAGGAAAAAAAAAAAAAAAAAGAGGUGAAUCACUCAAUCCAUCGAGGUGGAUUGAGUCCUGGUUGGGUGACAGGACUCAGAGGGUUCUAACUGAUGGAGCGGGGUCAAGUUGGAGGCCUGUGACCGGUGGUGGCCCCCAAGGGUCAAUGCUCGGCCCAGUCCUGUUCAACACAUUCAUCAAUGACCUGGAUGAAGGGACAGAGUGUUUCCUCAGCCAGUUGGCUGAUGGUACCAAACUGGGAGGACUGGUUGACACCCCAGAGGGCUAGGCCACCAUCCAGGGUGACCUGGACAGGCUGGAGAGCUGGGC